UCGGCGGGGAAGAAAUGGCAACGGCUAAUAUCCGUUGUUGAUGACGGUACCCGCAUAAGAAGCACCGGCUAACUACGUGCCAGCAGCCGCGGUAAUACGUAGGGCGCGAGCGUUAAUCGGAAUUACUGGGCGUAAAGCGUGCGCAGGCGGUUUCGUAAGACAGACGUGAAAUCCCCGGGCUCAACCUGGGAACUGCGUUUGUGACUGCGAGGCUAGAGUACGGCAGAGGGGGGUAGAAUUCCACGUGUAGCAGUGAAAUGCGUAGAGAUGUGGAGGAAUACCGAUGGCGAAGGCAGCCCCCUGGGUUAGUACUGACGCUCAUGCACGAAAGCGUGGGGAGCAAACAGGAUUAGAUACCCUGGUAGUCCACGCCCUAAACGAUGUCAACUAGGUG
rnacentral:rRNA from 1 species